UGCUUAAGAUUAAUCACGACAAACCGUUAACAAUUUGUCCGCCAGAAAAUUACGGGCGAAAGCCUAAAACUCAAAAGACUUGACGGUGUCCCACCCCUACCUAGAGGAGCCUGUUUCAUAAUCGAUAACCCCCGCUCAACCCAACCUCCCCUUGAAUCACAUUCAGCCUAUAUACCGCCGUCCUCUUGCUUACCCUUUGAAAGAUCAAUAGUAAGCCCAACAGUCCACCAACUAAAAAGUCAGGUCAAGGUGUAGCUUAUGGGGAGGAGAAAAUGGGCUACAUUUUCUAUUAUUAGACUAUCACGGAAAGUAUUUUGAAACAAAGUACACAAAGGUGGAUUUAGCAGUAAGUUAAAUUAGAGUGUUUAACUAAAAUUAGCUCUGGGACAUGUACACACCGCCCGUCACCCUCCUCAACUAAUCUUUAUAUUAUAUUUAUAAUAAACAAAAUUAAAAUAAGAUGAGGCAAGUCGUAACAAGGUAAGCGUACUGGAAAGUGCGCUUGGACUAC
rnacentral:rRNA from 1 species